UCUCCUUGAAAACGGGUGGUAAUACCGGAUGCUCCGCUCCAUCGCAUGGUGGGGUGGGAAAUGCUUUUGCGGCAUGGGAUGGGGUCGCGUCCUAUCAGCUUGUUGGCGGGGUGAUGGCCCACCAAGGCGUUGACGGGUAGCCGGCCUGAGAGGGUGACCGGCCACAUUGGGACUGAGAUACGGCCCAGACUCCUACGGGAGGCAGCAGUGGGGAAUAUUGCACAAUGGGCGCAAGCCUGAUGCAGCGACGCCGCGUGCGGGAUGGAGGCCUUCGGGUUGUAAACCGCUUUUGUUCAAGGGCAAGGCACGGUUUCGGCCGUGUUGAGUGGAUUGUUCGAAUAAGCACCGGCUAACUACGUGCCAGCAGCCGCGGUAAUACGUAGGGUGCGAGCGUUAUCCGGAUUUAUUGGGCGUAAAGGGCUCGUAGGCGGUUCGUCGCGUCCGGUGUGAAAGUCCAUCGCCUAACGGUGGAUCUGCGCCGGGUACGGGCGGGCUGGAGUGCGGUAGGGGAGACUGGAAUUCCCGGUGUAACGGUGGAAUGUGUAGAUAUCGGAAAAGAACACCA
rnacentral:rRNA from 1 species